rnacentral:lncRNA from 1 species
GGAGCUGCUUCAGCGCGUGAUUGAGAUGAUGGAAAAGCCUUUUAAGUAUGGUGCUUGGGAACUAAACGCGGAAGACUAUGAAGAAGAAGCAGAAGACUAUCAGGCUGAAAUGGAAGUCGAGGAGGAGCAGGAGGAAGAGGAAGAGGAAGAGGAAGAGGGUGAAGAAAAAAGUAAAGAAAGGAGGAGACACUUGGGAGAUACCAAACACUUCUGCCCGGUGGUUCUCAAAGAAAACUUUGUUCUACAACCGGGCAGCACGGAAGAGGCCGUUAAAUACCGGGAGAAGAUAUACUACUUCUCAACCCCUGAGGCAAAGGAGAAGUUCCUGGAGCAUCCUGAGGACUACGUGUCCCAGAACGAACCCUUAAAG